GAGUUUGAUCCUGGCUCAGGAUGAACGCUGGCGGUCUGCUUAACACAUGCAAGUCGAACGGAGUGCUUCGGCACUUAGUGGCGGACGGGUGAGUAACGCGUGAGAAUCUGCCCUUAGGACGGGGACAACGACUGGAAACGGUCGCUAAUACCCGAUAUGCCGAGAGGUGAAAUGAUUUAUUGCCUGAGGAUGAGCUCGCGUCUGAUUAGCUAGUUGGUGGGGUAAUGGCCUACCAAGGCUGCGAUCAGUAGCUGGUCUGAGAGGAUGAUCAGCCACACUGGGACUGAGACACGGCCCAGACUCCUACGGGAGGCAGCAGUGGGGAAUUUUCCGCAAUGGGCGCAAGCCUGACGGAGCAAGACCGCGUGCGGGACGGCGGCCUGUGGGUUGUAAACCGCUUUUGACAGGGAAGAAUCCAUGACGGUACCUGUCGAAUCAGCCUCGGCUAACUCCGUGCCAGCAGCCGCGGUAAUACGGAGGAGGCAAGCGUUAUCCGGAAUUAUUGGGCGUAAAGCGUCCGCAGGUGGUUGGUCAAGUCAGCUGUUAAAGCGUGGGGCUUAACUCCAUAAGGGCAGUUGAAACUGACUAGCUAGAGUGCGAUAGGGGCAAGGGGAAUUCCCAGUGUAGCGGUGAAAUGCGUAGAUAUUGGGAAGAACACCGGUGGCGAAAGCGCCUUGCUGGGUCUGCACUGACACUGAGGGACGAAAGCUAGGGGAGCGAAAGGGAUUAGAUACCCCUGUAGUCCUAGCUGUAAACGAUGGGUACUAGGCGUUGUCCGUAUCGACCCGGGCAGUGCCGUAGCUAACGCGUUAAGUAUCCCGCCUGGGGAGUACGCACGCAAGUGUGAAACUCAAAGGAAUUGACGGGGACCCGCACAAGCGGUGGAGUAUGUGGUUUAAUUCGAUGCAACGCGAAGAACCUUACCAGGGUUUGACAUGUCCGGAACCCUCUUGAAAGAGAGGGGUGCCUUCGGGAACCGGAACACAGGUGGUGCAUGGCUGUCGUCAGCUCGUGUCGUGAGAUGUUGGGUUAAGUCCCGCAACGAGCGCAACCCUCGUUCUUAGUUGCCAGCAUUUAGUUGGGCACUCUAGGGAGACUGCCGGUGACAAACCGGAGGGGAAGGUGGGGAUGACGUCAAGUCCAGCAUGCCCCUUACGCUCUGGGCUACACACGUACCUACAAUGCUUCGGACAAAGGGCUGCCAACUCGCGGGGAGUGCGCUAAUCCCAUAUAAAACCGAGGCUCAGUUCAGAUUGCAGGCUGCAACUCGCCUGCAUGAAGGCGGGAUCGCUAGUAAUCGCAGGUCAGCAUACUGCGGUGAAUACGUUCCCGGGUCUUGUACACACCGCCCCGUCACACCAUGGGAGUUGGCCACGCCCGAAGUCGUUAUCCUAACCUAUAUGGAGGGAGACGCCGAAGGCAGGGCUGAUGACUGGGGUGAAGUCGUAACAAGGUAGCCGUACCGGAAGGUGUGGCUGGAUCACCUCCUUUUUAGGGAGACCUACCCACUCUGAUUGCUGAACGCACAGUGUCAUUAAGCAAAGAGUUGGUCAUCCCAAGGUCGUUCGGGAAUGAGUAAAUGGCUUUCAAACUAUGAGGUUCGGGAAAUGGGCUAUUAGCUCAGGUGGUUAGAGCGCACCCCUGAUAAGGGUGAGGUCCCUGGUUCGAGUCCAGGAUGGCCCACCUCAAUAAAAGGAAGGGGGAAGAUGAGUAUAGGAAAGUGUUUUUCUGGUAAUUUAUCUUCGCCUGUUCAGAUAAGGGGGUUUAGCUCAGUUGGUAGAGCGCCUGCUUUGCAAGCAGGAUGUCAGCAGUUCGAGUCUGCUAACCUCCACUGAAAGUUUUUAUUGAAUGCUUGAAGACGAAAUUUGUUUCAUUGAUUUCAGCAACUAAUUUAGGAAAGGCUAAAUAGACUGCUGGGAUUAGAGCCAGCGAGAACCUAGAAAACUGCAUAGCAAGAAACUUGUCAGGUAGAACAUCAAGGCUUGCCUUGAUGAGAACAGACACCAAUGAAAUUUUGUGGUCAAGCUACAAAGAGCUAACGGUGGAUACCUAGGCACACAGAGGCGAAG
rnacentral:rRNA from 1 species